rnacentral:tRNA from 1 species
GCAGGUAUAGCUCAGUGGUAGAGUGCCGGCUUCCCAAGCCGGAUAGGCGGGUCCGAUUCCCGUUACCUGCUCCA